UACCCUUCACUACGGAAUAGUCCCGGGAAACUGGGUUUAAUACCGUAUACGCCCUUCGGGGGAAAGAAUUUCGGUGAGGGAUCGGCCCGCGUUAGAUUAGUUAGUUGGUGGGGUAAUGGCCUACCAAGACUACGAUCUAUAGCUGGUUUGAGAGGAUGAUCAGCAACACUGGGACUGAGACACGGCCCAGACUCCUACGGGAGGCAGCAGUGGGGAAUCUUAGACAAUGGGGGCAACCCUGAUCUAGCGAUGCCGCGUGAGUGAUGAAGGCCUUAGGGUCGUAAAGCUCUUUCGCCUGUGAUGAUAAUGACAGUAGCAGGUAAAGAAACCCCGGCUAACUCCGUGCCAGCAGCCGCGGUAAUACGGAGGGGGUUAGCGUUGUUCGGAAUUACUGGGCGUAAAGCGCACGUAGGCGGAUUAGUCAGUCAGAGGUGAAAUCCCAGGGCUCAACCCUGGAACUGCCUUUGAUACUGCUAGUCUUGAGUUCGAGAGAGGUAAGUGGAAUUCCGAGUGUAGAGGUGAAAUUCGUAGAUAUUCGGAGGAACACCAGUGGCGAAGGCGGCUUACUGGCUCGAUACUGACGCUGAGGUGCGAAAGUGUGGGGAGCAAACAGGAUUAGAUACCCUGGUAGUCCACACCGUAAACGAUGAAUGCCAGUCGUCGGGUAGCAUGCUAUUCGGUGACACACCUAAACGGAUUAAGCAUUUCCGCCUGGGGGAGUA
rnacentral:rRNA from 1 species